rnacentral:lncRNA from 1 species
AUUAUUAUUAUUAUUAUUAUUACAACCACCACCACCACCACCAGGUCCACCACCACCAAUGUACACAAACAGAGUUAUAUUAUAAUACACAACCGCUCAGCGUAUUGGAGUGCUGGCGAAGGAGUGGACCGAUUUUUGUAGAGCUCGAUGAUGUCGACGUUUGUUAUACUUUUUGUUUUGACGCUUAUUUCUAUUUUUACUCUGAUUUUUUUUUUUUGUUCUUUUUUCCUUUGAUUUUUCGCCUUUUCUGAGAUCUUAACUGUCUCACUUUACGUAGCUAAAUUUAUUUAUCUAAUAAAUGAAAUAGCUAGCAUGCUACCUUUCUCUCUCUCUCAAA